CAGUAGCCACGGGAAUACGUAGGUGGCAAGCGUUGUCCGGAAUUAUUGGGCGUAAAGGGCUCGCAGGCGGAUUCUUAAGUCUGAUGUGAAAGCCCCCGGCUCAACCGGGGAGGGUCAUUGGAAACUGGGAAACUUGAGUGCAGAAGAGGAGAGUGGAAUUCCACGUGUAGCGGUGAAAUGCGUAGAAAUGUGGAGGAACACCAGUGGCGAAGGCGACUCUCUGGUCUGUAACUGACGCUGAGGAGCGAAAGCUAGGGGGGCAAAUGGGAUUAGAUACCCCCGUAGUCCCUGUCUCUUAUAC
rnacentral:rRNA from 1 species